AACGAACGCUGGCGGCAUGCCUAACACAUGCAAGUCGAACGAGACCUUCGGGUCUAGUGGCGCACGGGUGCGUAACGCGUGGGAACCAGCCCUUGGGUUCGGAAUAACUCAGAGAAAUUUGAGUUAAGACCGGAGGAUGUCUUCGCAGCAAAGAUUUAUCGCCGUUGGAUGGGCGCGCGUUGGAUUAGCCGGUUGGUGGGGUAAAGGCCUACCAUGGCGACGAUCGAUGGCUGGUCAGAGAGGAUGACCAGGCAGACUGGGAGUGAGGCACGGCCCAGACUCGUACGGGAGGCGGGAGUGGGGAAUAUUAGACGACGGGCGAAAGCCGGAUCCACCCAGGGCGCGUGAGUGAUGAAGGCCUUAUGGUUGUAGAGCUCUUUUACCCGGGAUGAUGAUGACAGUAACGGGAGAAUAAGCUCCGGCUAACUCCGUG
rnacentral:rRNA from 1 species